rnacentral:rRNA from 1 species
GUCUACGGCCAUGCCACCCUGAAUGGACCAGAUCUCGUCUGAUCUUGGAAGCUAAUCAGGUUUGGUCCUGGUUAGUACUUGGAUGGGAGACCACCUAGGAAUACCAGCUGCUGUAGGCG